GUGCCAGCCGCCGCGGUAAUACGAAGGGGGCUAGCGUUACUCGGAAUUACUGGGCGUAAAGGGCGCGUAGGCGGCGCUCCAAGUUAGGCGUGAAAGUCCUGGGCUCAACCUGGGAACUGCGCUUGAUACUGGAGUGCUUGAGGAUGGAAGAGGGUCGUGGAAUUCCCAGUGUAGAGGUGAAAUUCGUAGAUAUUGGGAAGAACACCGGUGGCGAAGGCGGCGACCUGGUCCAUUACUGACGCUGAGGCGCGACAGCGUGGGGAGCAAACAGGAUUAGAAACCCCCGUAGUCC
rnacentral:rRNA from 1 species